rnacentral:misc_RNA from 1 species
UCCGGCUUAAUACCGGCAGUCGCACCAGACACGUAUAACUGGGGCUAAGGGUUGCGCUCGUUAGUGGACUUAACCAAACACCUCACGGCACGAGCUGACGACAGCCAUGCAUCACCUGUGACGGCUCCCCGAAGGGUCGUUCCGCUUUCGCUUCACUACUACCGUCAUGUCAAUCCCUGGUAAGGUUCUUCGCGUAGCCUCGAAUUAAACCACACGCUCCGCUGCUUGUGCGGGUCCCCGUCAAUUCCUUUGAGUUUUAACCUUGCGGCCGUAGUCCCCAGGCGGUUGACUUAAUGCGUUUGCUCCGGCACCGGCGGGGUUUAGACCGUCGACACCUAGUCAACAUCGUUUAUAGCUAGGACUA